AGCUCCAAUAGCGUAUAUUAAAGUUGUUGCGGUUAAAAAGCUCGUAGUUGGAUUUCUGCUGAGGACGACCGGUCCGCCCUCUGGGUGAGCAUCUGGCUCGGCCUUGGCAUCUUCUUGGGGAACGUUACUGCACUUGAUUGUGUGGUGCGGUAUCCAAGACUUUUACUUUGAGGAAAUUAGAGUGUUUCAAGCAGGCGCACGCCUUGAAUACAUUAGCAUGGAAUAAUAAGAUAGGACGUUGGUUCUAUUUUGUUGGUUUCUAAAGCUGACGUAAUGAUUAAUAGGGAUAGUUGGGGGCAUUCGUAUUUAACUGUCAGAGGUGAAAUUCUUGGAUUUGUUAAAGACGGACUACUGCGAACGCAUUUGCCAAGGAUGUUUUCAUUG
rnacentral:rRNA from 1 species